rnacentral:sRNA from 1 species
AUUUAUGAAGUACUGAGUGUGAUCCGGGAUAUUGGCGCCAUAGCCCAAGUCCAUGCAGAAAAUGGCGACAUCAUUGCAGAGGAGCAGCAGAGGAUCCUGGAUCUGGGCAUCACGGGCCCCGAGGGACAUGUGCUGAGCCGACCCGAGGAGGUCGAGGCCGAAGCCGUGAAUCGUGCCAUCACCAUCGCCAACCAGACCAACUGCCCCCUGUAUAUCACCAAGGUGAUGAGCAAAAGCUCUGCUGAAGUCAUCGCCCAGGCACGGAAGAAGGAUUCGGCUGUGAAGCUGGCGGCUGUAACGGACAGCUUCUUCCAGGCAGUGACUCAGGGAUCCAGGCUGUCUCUUGAGCAGAUCUGGGGGGUUAUGUAUUUGCCCUGAAAUACUUCAGCCUGGUGAUGUCAUGUGUGAUUUCCUCCCACAGACCUUUAAUCAGAGCUAGACACUGUGAAGGGCUAGGAAUUGUGAAGAGAUUGUGUGAAUGAACAGGAAGGUUAAAUUUGAGGUGCCAUAGGCCAUGCGUAAAGAACAGUCCAGAUGGCACCUGGGACUGGAUGCUUGGACACCAUCUGAGCAGAUUAAUAGAAUUGA